AUUGCCAGCAAAGUAAGGGAGGAUGCUGUCUGACAUCUGAUUCAGGUAUGCUACCUGUGUGAAAGAGAAAAUACAGCAUGUUGAGUUUUAUUGCCUUGGAGAAUUUUUAAGCAAGAGACUGAAACUGUUGGGAAUGACUCUGGAAGGAAGAACCAAGGGGUCUUUUUAGUGAGGACACACAUUCUAAAACUAGGAUUAAUUAGGAGAUCUGGGGGAAUGAAGAUGUUUUCCCAUAUCUGUGAGAAUAAAUUAAGGCACAAAUAUUUCAUCAAACAUACAGUGCAUGAACUGCUGUUGAUAGCCUGGAUGAGAAACCCAGCACAUAUGACCUCGCUUCUGAUGUACUGUGGAGAUGGAGGGAUGGAUGGCAGGGAAACUGACUUCAUUGCCACAGUGUAAGUGUUACUGAAAAAGAAGAACACAUGUGAGAAUAGUUGUCAGGCAGUAAAUUUCUAUAGAAAUUUACACUGGCAUUUAUUAAUUUGGUUUUGUGGUUCUAGGGAUUAAAUCCAGGGCUUACUGCACCCUAGGCAAGUUCUCCACCACUGGCUUCAUCCCCAGCCCAUGGGUGACUUCAUUGUCCUGGCAGGAGGGAGCUCUGAAAACUAGACCUCCUCUGGAUGAGUGAUCACAUAAAAAAAAAAAAAAAAAAAAAAAAAAAAAAAAACCUUCUCUAUAGUGACCUUCAAACAUAGUGAAUAAGGCUUUCUUUUCUAGCAGACAAGGCCAGGACACCAGAGGAGCUGUAUGUACUCACUCAUCUUUGAGAGGCUUUCUUCGUGACACAAGUACUACGAAGUCUUUGGGUUUAUCUCCAUUUGCCACAGAACAGGGUAUUUUGAAGUUACUGUUGAAAUUCUUCAUCUUAUAAUCUAUUCCCAUGGCAACAAGCUGUGAGAAGACAAGCAAACAUGAGGUUAGGACUUCAACCACAGGAAUCAAGCAGAUGGAAGGAAAGCAAACUGUGAAGAACUGACCUUUAUUGAAACAUAUAUCUGUAUCACGACAUCAUCCUCACCAUGACAAUAAAGAAAUGGGAAAUCAACUACAAGAAGCUUAGGCAGCAAACAAGUGAUUAUUUGCCUCUGUAAAAACACAUCCUUGCUGGGCCAUGUGUAUCUUUAAUUCCAGCCAGCAAAGAAAGGCCUGGUGUAGACUGUGAGCACUAGUCAAAUGCAAACAAAAUCAGGUGGGGCCCCACAUGGCUGCCAUCAGCACAGAAACAAAAGGAAGUCCACUGGUGAAAAUCCCCAGAGAAGGUUGGCGAUUAGUUGUCUCUCGACCUGGCUAUGGUGCACUGCAGAAUCGGAGGAGCUGUUUGCAUGCUUGCUUUGGGGUUGUCGUGGUUUCCUUUGGGGAAUCAGGGUGUGAGGAGACUGUCCUAUUGGGCUGAACGCUUGCUUAGAGUUGAAUCAUGGUCCCCUCCUGCCCACAUUCCUUUGGUAGAGUCCUAAUCUCUUAUACCUUGUCAUGUGACUUUAUAUGGAAAUGGGGUCUUUCUCAAUAUGAGUCACUAAAAUGAAGUCAUAUUGCAGGAAGGUAGGCCCAAUCGACUGACCGCUUUAUAGAGGGGAAGGUGGACACAGACAUGCACACAGGGAGGACACUGUGUAGAUGAAGGCAGAAGUUGGGUGGUGUAUCUAUGAGCCAAGGCUCAGUGAGAAGUGAGGAAUUAAUGCUUCCUCCUCACAAGCAAUCAGCCUGCUUACACUUGAUCUCAGAUAUCCCCUUUCAGAAGAGAGAGCCAAUGGUUUCCUAUUGUUUAAGUCACCCAGUGGGUGGUCCUCUGUUGUGACAGCCUUAGGAAAUUAAACCAGUGGUUUUCCAGUGAGCUGCUCUCCAGCUUGCAGACACAUUUUAUCUCUAGCCAAAAGGAGUAGCCACCAUUACAUUCUACUUCCACAAAGAAAGCUCACUGACUUAUCCAUACUGUAUGAAUGAAUGACAUUUAUUCCUUCCCUGAGAAGAUGAAUGUAGCAGGAAGUCCUUCUUAUUAUCUUGCUACCUGAACCAAUACUAUAGAUGCAAAGGAGACAAAGAAAGGCGGUGGUCCAUUUUGCCUCUCUUUAGAUUUGCCAGAGAACAGCCACUGUGGAGGUUUGAAUUAGAUGUUCCACAUAAGUCUCUGGCAUUUGAAAACUUGGUCUCCAGUUGGCAGAACUGUUUGGGAAGGGUUAAGAGGUGUGGUCUUGUUGGAGAAGGUGUGUCACUGGGGUGGGCUUAAGGUUUUAAAAACCCAUGCCAUUUCCAGUGUGCUCUCUCUGCCUUUGCUUGAGGUUGAGAUGUGAACUCCUUGCUGUUCCAGUCAUCCAUUGUGGACACUAACCCUCUGGAAUGUAAGCCCAAUAAAACCUUUUCUUUUAUAAGUUGCCUUGGUCAUGGUGCCUCGUCACAGUAUUAGAACAGUAACCAAUCCAGCCAUCUUUGGCCUGAUGGAAAGAUUCUCUAAGAAGAGUUAUCCAAGAAAAUGGCUUCCCUUUACUCAUGGGGACAGAAGUAGACAUAAUUCAUAACUAACUCCAGUGUUUGGGGUGAUUGGGCAGUUUUUGUCCGAGAUGAAGCUCAACAUGAGUAGCUCCAGACUCACUGAAGCAAGUCUGCCUGAUUCCAUCAGUGGAACUGUUUCCAUCAUCGUGCUCCCUCUGCUCAGAUCUCUGUUUGGAUGCCAAUCAAUAUCACAAUAAUCAUGUUAGACUUUUUGUACCAAUUGAUAAAUAUGUUACUGAGAUUGCAUUAUAGACAGGAAGAGGAAACUAUUUUUUUCGAAACAGUGUUUCCCUUCUUAUCCUGGAAUUCAUUCUAUAGACCAUGCUGGCCUUGAUCUCACAGAGAUCCACUUGCUUCUGCCUCCUAAGUGCUAGGAUUAAAGGUGUGUGCCACCACCCCCCAUCGGAAACUGCUUUCUAUAGAGGCCUAAUCUGUAGAGACACCAGGGAUUACCAUAGAUGACAAGGGCUGGGAUGGAUAA